rnacentral:rRNA from 1 species
AGUGAACGCUGGCGGUAGGCCUAACACAUGCAAGUCGAACGGCAGCACAGUAAGAGCUUGCUCUUACGGGUGGCGAGUGCCGGGCGGGUGAGGAAUACAUCGGAAUCUACUUUUUCGUGGGGGAUAUCGUAGGGAAAAUUACGCUAAUACCGCAUACGACCUACGGGUGAAAGCAGGGGCUCUUCGGACCUUGCGCGAUUGAAUGAGCCGAUGCCGGAGUAGCUAGUUGGCGGGGUAAAGGCCCACCAAGGCGACGAUCCGUAGCUGGUCUGAGAGGAUGAUCAGCCACACUGGAAGUGAGACACGGUCCAGACUCCUACGGUAGGAAGCAGUGGGGAAUAUUGGACAAAGGGCGCAAGCCUGAUCCAGCCAUACCGCGUGGGUGAAGAAGGCCUUAGGGUUGUAAAGCCCUUUUGUUGGGAAAGAAAAGCAGCAGGUUAAUACCCCGCUGUUCUGACGGUACCCAAAGAAUAAGCACCGGCUAACUUCGUG